rnacentral:rRNA from 1 species
CCCUUAGAUGUUCUGGGCCGCACGCGCGCUACACUGUUCGACGCAGCGAGUCUUAACCUUGACCGAAAGGUUUGGGUAAUCUUCAGCAAAGUCGAACGUGAUGGGGAUCGAUCAUUGCAAUUAUUAAUCUUGAACGAGGAAUUCCUAGUAAACGCAAAUCAUCAAUUUGCAUUGAUUACGUCCCUGCCCUUUGUACACACCGCCCGUCGCACCUACCGAUUGAAUGGUCCGGUGAAGCCUCGGGAUUGUGGCCAGUUCACUUUAUUGGGAGUUGGCUGCGAGAACUUGUCUAAACCUUAUCAUUUAGAGGAAGGUGAAGUCGUAACA